AUUGAACGCUGGCGGCAGGCCUAACACAUGCAAGUCGAACGACUGGCGGACGGGUGAGUAAUGUCUGGGAACCUGCUCGCUGGCGGUGGAUAACUACUGGAAACGGUAGCUCAUACCGCAUACCAUCGGAUGUGCCCAGAUUGGAUUAGCUUGUAGGUGAGGUAACGGCUCACCAAGGCGACGAUCCCUAGCUGGUCUGAGAGGAUGACCAGCCACACUGGAACUGAGACACGGUCCAGACGCCUACGGGAGGCAGCAGUGGGGAAUAUUGCACAAUGGGCGCAAGCCUGAUACAGCCAUGCCGCGUGUAUGAAGAAGGCCUUCGGGUUGUAAAGCACUUUCGGCGGGAAGGCGUUACCCGCAGAAGAAGCACCGGCUAACUCCGUGCCAGCAGCCGCGGUAAUAC
rnacentral:rRNA from 1 species